AGGUUCGAAUCCUUCCGUCCCAG
rnacentral:tRNA from 35 species